AUUCAGCCUGCUUGCCCUAACCAUGGCAAAUGAAGGUGUUUAACUGCUCGGAAAUAAAACAAUGCUUUUUGCUCUUCAGACUUGCUGAGAUUAUCCCUUGAAGCUGGUCUAGUAAGCCUAAGCACAUU